UGCCGUGUCAGUGGAGGCCAAUCCAUC
rnacentral:sRNA from 1 species